rnacentral:rRNA from 1 species
UACGAAGGGGGCUAGCGUUGCUCGGAAUUACUGGGCGUAAAGCGCACGUAGGCGGUCUUUUAAGUCGGGGGUGAAAUCCUGGAGCUCAACUCCAGAACUGCCUUCGAUACUGGAAGACUUGAGUCCGGGAGAGGUGAGUGGAACUGCGAGUGUAGAGGUGAAAUUCGUAGAUAUUCGCAAGAAUACCAGUGGCGAAGGCGGCUCACUGGCCCGGUACUGACGCUGAGGUGCGAAAGCGUGGGGAGCAAACAGG